rnacentral:rRNA from 1 species
UACGAAGGGGGCUAGCGUUGUUCGGAUUUACUGGGCGUAAAGCGCACGUAGGCGGUUUGAUAAGUCGGGGGUGAAAUCCUGGGGCUCAACCUCAGAAUUGCCUUCGAUACUGUCGAUCUAGAGGCCAGAAGAGGUUAGUGGAAUUCCCAGUGUAGAGGUGAAAUUCGUAGAUAUUGGGAAGAACACCAGUGGCGAAGGCGGCUAACUGGUCUGGUACUGACGCUGAGGUGCGAAAGCGUGGGGAGCAAACAGG